CAAGUCGAACGAAGUCUUCGGACUUAGUGGCGAACGGGUGCGUAACAUGUGGGAAUCUGCCUAAAGGUUCGGAAUAACUGCGGGAAACUGUAGCUAAUACCGGAUGUGUCUGCAAAGAGAAAGAUUUAUCGCCUUUAGAUGAGCCCGCACUAGAUUAGCUUGUUGGUGAGGUAACUGCUCCACCAAGGCUAUGAUCUAUAGCUGAUUUGAGAGGAUGAUCAGCCGCACUGGGACUGAGACACGGCCCAGACUCCUACGGGAGGCAGCAGUGGGGAAUAUUGGACAAUGGGGGAAACCCUGAUCCAGCAAUGCCGCGUGAGUGAAGAAGGCCCUUGGGUUGUAAAACUCUUUCAUCAAUGAUGAUAAUGACAUUAGUUGAAGAAGAAGCCCCGGCUAACUCCGUGCCAGCAGCCGCGGUAAUACGGAGGGAGCUAGCGUUGUUCGGAAUUACUGGGCGUAAAGCGUAUGUAGGCGGAUCAAAAAGUUAGAUGUGAAAUCCCUGGGCUUAACCCAGGAACAGCAUUUAAUACUAGUGAUCUAGAAUUUGGUAGAGGUUAGUAGAAUUUCCAGUGUAGAGGUGAAAUUCGUAGAUAUUGGAAAGAAUACCAGUGGCGAAGGCGACUAUCUGGACCAACAUUGACGCUGAGGUACGAAAGCGUGGGGUAGCAAACAGGAUUAGAUACCCUGGUAGUCCACGCAGUAAACGAUGAGUGCUAGUCGCUGGGCCAAAAGGUUCGGUGUCGAAGUUAACGCAUUAAGCACUCCGCCUGGGAAGUACGGUCGCAAGAUUAAAACUCAAAUAAAUUGACGGGGGCCCGCACAAGCGGUGGAGCAUGUGGUUUAAUUCGAAGCAACGC
rnacentral:rRNA from 1 species